rnacentral:rRNA from 1 species
UACGUAGGGACCAAGCGUUGUUCGGAUUUACUGGGCGUAAAGCGCACGUAGGCGGCUUUGUAAGUUAGAGGUGAAAGCCCGGGGCUCAACUCCGGAAUUGCCUUUAAGACUGCAUCGCUAGAAUUGUGGAGAGGUAAGUGGGAUUCCGAGUGUAGAGGUGAAAUUCGUAGAUAUUCGGAAGAACACCAGUGGCGAAGGCGACUUACUGGACACAUAUUGACGCUGAGGUGCGAAAGCGUGGGGAGCAAACAGG